GGCUUUCUGUGCAUCCUCUUUCCAAAGAUCUAUCCUCAAAACGUGGACCUAGAGGUGGUAUCACAGAGAACUCCUUUCGUGUGUGAAUACAUUUUUUGUAAAACUAGGAAUUCUAUUCUUUUUUUUUUUUGUAUUUGACAUUUCUUUACUACAUCUUUUAAAUUUGGAGGUACUCCUGAGUUCCAGAUUCUCACUGUGUGCCAAGAUUGAGUGGUGCAUGGUUACCCAAGCGCCCACUACCCAGCCUGGUGCCCAGUACACAUUAAAUGUUUGCUAAAUAAAGGGGACACUGAAUCCACUGAACCAGGGACACUGAAUGAGUUGAACUGAAUUCCCUGAAACGUAAUCAAAAGUCGAACCCUAAUGUGACGCUCAGGUGGAUGUGGUAGAAGGGCCAGCAAGCCAGGCAAGGCCAGCUGGUACUCAGGGGCCACCUGGCUGAGCCACGCAGGGUUGUGUUCUGCUUUGGUGUACUGAGUGCAUUUUCUGCUGGUUGAGCUGGGAGUCUCAGCACAUGGAGCACCUUGGACCAGGGUCUCUCUGACCACAGGGUCCUUGGUUUCAAGUGUCAACAAAGGCCCUGAAAUGAGCCUGGAUGGAGAACAUGGGACAGAAUGUUCAGACUCUGCCUCGC
rnacentral:lncRNA from 1 species